rnacentral:rRNA from 1 species
UACGGGGGGGGGCAAGCGUUGUUCGGAAUUACUGGGCGUAAAGGGCUCGUAGGCGGCCAACUAAGUCGGAUGUGAAAUCCCCAGGCUUAACCUGGGAACUGCAUCCGAUACUGGAUGGCUUGAAUCCGGGAGAGGGAUGCGGAAUUCCAGGUGUAGCGGUGAAAUGCGUAGAUAUCGGAAGGAACGCCGGUGGCGAAAGCGGCGUGCUGGAUCUCACUGACGCUGAGGCGCGAAAGCCAGGGGAGCAAACGGGGAUU